ACUGUGGUGCUUAUCGGAGUGUGCGUGGGCGUCGCCGUCAAUCUGGAUUGCUUGAAGAUUUCAUAAGGAACACAUUUGCCGAAAGGCCGUUCACUCGACUUAGACAGUUCAAAGUUCUCCCCUUCACUCCUAGGGAUCACAUAAUACAAUACGGAGAUCCGAUGACGUAUGAUAUAAUUGCUAUGGUCGGCAACCCUGGUAAUCAUUGGUAUACGGUCAUCAUUGACAACAGAAAUCGACAGGUUCUGCACUUUGACUCCCAAAAUUGCUCAACCGUAACCAUGAAAGAUCGUUGCCACUCACAUUUAAGGCUACUUAAAGACUUCCGACAAUACCAGAGAGACAAGCUACCUAUUGUUGUCAAUGGAGAUUUGAAUACUGAUGACUAUACAUUUGUUGAUGGUCAAU